GAUGAACGCUGGCGGCGUGCUUAACACAUGCAAGUCGAGCGAAGCACCCGGACGGAUUUCUUCGGAUUGAAGUCUGGGCGACUGAGCGGCGGACGGGUGAGUAACGCGUGGGUAACCUGCCUCAUACAGGGGGAUAACAGUUAGAAAUGACUGCUAAUACCGCAUAAGCGCACGAAGGCGCAUGCCUUUGUGUGAAAAACUCCGGUGGUAUGAGAUGGACCCGCGUUAGAUUAGCCAGUUGGCAGGGUAACGGCCUACCAAAGCGACGAUCUAUAGCCGGCCUGAGAGGGCGACCGGCCACAUUGGGACUGAGACACGGCCCAAACUCCUACGGGAGGCAGCAGUGGGGAAUAUUGCACAAUGGGGGAAACCCUGAUGCAGCGACGCCGCGUGAGCGAAGAAGUAUUUCGGUAUGUAAAGCUCUAUCAGCAGGGAAGAAAAUGACGGUACCUGACUAAGAAGCCCCGGCUAACUACGUGCCAGCAGCCGCGGUAAUACGUAGGGGGCAAGCGUUAUCCGGAUUUACUGGGUGUAAAGGGAGCGUAGACGGCUCUGCAAGUCUGGAGUGAAAACCCGGGGCUCAACCCUGGGACUGCUUUGGAAACUGUGGAGCUUGAGUACCGGAGGGGUAAGCGGAAUUCCUAGUGUAGCGGUGAAAUGCGUAGAUAUUAGGAGGAACACCAGUGGCGAAGGCGGCUUACUGGACGGUAA
rnacentral:rRNA from 1 species